rnacentral:RNase_P_RNA from 1 species
CGAGAAAAUCGGCUUGUUGAUUCCUGUUUCGGCAGGGGUAGGAAAGUCCGGACACCGUAGAGCAGCAAAGCGGAUAACAUCCGUCACCCGUGAGGGUAGGACAAGUGCAACAGAAAGCAAGUACAGUUCGGCUGUAGUGAAACCAGGUAAACUCUUUGUGGUGCAAUGAUAAGUAUAUCGGUUCUUUUCAGCAAUGAGAAUAGGGGCGGCUCGUCCUGAAAGCCGAGGGGUAAUCAGCUCAAGUUUUGCAGCAAUGUAAGACGUAGAUAAAUAACAGGCACUUUUUCGGAAGUACAAAAUCCGGCUUACAGAUUUUCUCGUGAU